GCUUAGAGAGGGGUCAAUGUCCUAUCAGCUAGUUGGCAGGGUAAUGGCCUACCAAGGCUAAGACGGGUAGCCGGCCUGAGAGGGUGGUCGGCCACACUGGGACUGAGACACUGCCCAGACUCCUACGGGAGGCUGCAGUCGAGAAUCUUUCGCAAUGCCCGAAAGGGUGACGAAGCGACGCCGCGUGUGGGAAGAAGGCCUUCGGGUUGUAAACCACUGUCGGGAGUUAAGAAGUGUAAGGGUGUUAAUAGCAUCCUUGCUUGACUAAGGCUCCGGAGGAAGCCACGGCUAACUCUGUGCCAGCAGCCGCGGUAAUACAGAGGCGGCAAGCGUUGUUCGGAAUUAUUGGGCGUAAAGAGCACGUAGGCGGCUUUGUAAGUCAGUUGUGAAAGCCUUCUGCUUAACGGAAGAACAGCAUCUGAUACUGCAAGGCUAGAGUACGGAAGGG
rnacentral:rRNA from 1 species